CGUAUUCUGUUCGUUUAGCUUUCUCGGGGACCUAUUUGCUAUUUUUCUCGAUUUUCUAGGAUUUUUUGUGGCCUCCAUUUGAUCCAAAAUAUCCUCUGAUAUCUCCUCCUCUAGCAGUUUUAGGAGUUCGUCAGCCUCAGUUCCCCAUAGUAUUGGUACCGUAGACGAACCCGCAGCUAGGACCGAACCCUGUCUGGCCUUUGCACCGGAC
rnacentral:lncRNA from 1 species